UCAAUAUCUUAGGAUCUUGAAUACUUAGAGAGAAACCCAUCAGGAAGAUGCAGCAGCCAUGAGGAUCAGUCAUCACACAGCUACUGGUUUUGGCUCACACCUUAAUCCACAACUCUUAUUUGGCAAGAUCUCCACCCAACUAUUUUAUCUUUUAUUCUCCCCUAUAUCCUUCUAAAGGGUAGGUACCUGUUUGUCUUGUUUAUCACCAUAUCUCUGGCACCCAAUCACUGGCAUAACUGUAAGUGGUCAUACACAUCUGUGGAACAAAACAAAUGAGGUAGAACACACAGGUCCUAAACC
rnacentral:lncRNA from 1 species